AGUACCAUGGCUUAGCUGGUCAAAGCACCUGUCUAUUGAACAGAAGAUCCUGGGUUCAAAUCCCAGCAGUGCCU
rnacentral:tRNA from 1 species